rnacentral:rRNA from 1 species
GAUGAACGCUGGCGGCGUGCCUAAUACAUGCAAGUCGAGCGAACAGACGAGGAGCUUGCUCCUCUGACGUUAGCGGCGGACGGGUGAGUAACACGUGGAUAACCUACCUAUAAGACUGGGAUAACUUCGGGAAACCGGAGCUAAUACCGGAUAAUAUAUUGAACCGCAUGGUUCAAUAGUGAAAGACGGUUUUGCUGGCACUUAUAGAUGGAUCCGCGCCGCAUUAGCUAGUUGGUAAGGUAACGGCUUACCAAGGCAACGAUGCGUAGCCGACCUGAGAGGGUGAUAGGCCACACUGGAACUGAGACACGGUCCAGACUACUACGGGAGGCAGCAGUAGGGAAUCUUCCGCAAUGGGCGAAAGCCUGACGGAGCAACGCCGCGUGAGUGAUGAAGAUCUUCGGAUCGUAAAACUCUGUUAUUAGGGAAGAACAAAUGUGUAAGUAACUAUGCACGUCUUGACGGUACCUAAUCAGAAAGCCACGGCUAACUACGUG